UGUGUCAUUUGAGGUGUGUGUGUGUGUGUGUGUGUGUCAUUUGAGGUGUGUGUGUGUGUGUGUGUGUGUGUCAUUUGAGGUGUGUGUGUGUGUGUGUCAUUUGAGGUGUGUGUGUGUGUGUGUCAUUUGAGGUGUGUGUGUGUGUGUGUCAUUUGAGGUGUGUGUGUGUGUGUGUCAUUUGAGGUGUGUGUGUGUGUGUGUGUGUGUGUGUGUGUGUGGCAUUUGAGGU